rnacentral:misc_RNA from 1 species
GAUGAAGAACGCAGCGAAAUGCGAUACGUAAUGUGAAUUGCAAAUUCAGUGAAUCAUCGAGUCUUUGAACGCACAUUGCGCCCCCUGGUAUUCCGGGGGGCAUGCCUGUCCGAGCGUCAUUGCUGCCCUCAAGCACGGCUUGUGUGUUGGGCCCCGUCCUCCGAUCCCGGGGGACGGGCCCGAAAGGCAGCGGCGGCACCGCGUCCGGUCCUCGAGCGUAUGGGGCUUUGUCACCCGCUCUGUAGGCCCGGCCGGCGCUUGCCGAUCAACCCAAAUUUUUUAUCCAGGUUGACCUCGGAUCAGGUAUGGAUACCCGCUGAACUUAAGCAUAUCAAUAAGCGGAGGA